ACGGAAGCCCGGUGAGGCCAAGGUCGAGCCGGAAGAGAAGGUUCGUCCUCCCGACCCGGGCGCCCAGCACGGUGCCCGGCACCCACGCAAAGUCAUAGCCGCGAAGAUGGCAGAAGUGUUGCGGGCCUGCGAGAUUGCGAAAAUGCGGAAGGUGUCGACGGCCCUUUGGGUGGGGUUGCAACCAUAAGCGUCGUGAGAUCGCCGAGGCCAACCCACGCAGCCCGAGAUGCACGCUUGGUAACCGGGUCCCGUGCUAGCGGGCGGCGGACCGAACAUUCGGAACGUCGCCCGCUCUACCUU
rnacentral:ncRNA from 1 species